AUUGAACGCUGGCGGCAGGCCUAACACAUGCAAGUCGAGCGGAUGAAGGGAGCUUUCUCCUGGAUUCAGCGGCGGACGGGUGAGUAAUGCCUAGGAAUCUGCCUGGUAGUUGGGGAUAACGUCCGGAAACGGGCGCUAAUACCGCAUACGUCCUGAUGGAGAAAGUGGGGGAUCUUCGGACCUCACGCUAUCAGCUGAGCCUAGGUCGGAUUAGCUAGUUGGUGGGGUAAAGGCCUACCAAGGCGACGAUCCGUAACUGGUCUGAGAGGAUGAUCAGUCACACUGGAACUGAGACACGGUCCAGACUCCUACGGGAGGCAGCAGUAGGGAAUAUUGGACAAUGGGCGAAAGCCUGAUGCAGCCAUGCCGCGUGUGUGAAGAAGGUCUUCGGAUUGUAAAGCACUUUAAGUUGGGAGGAAGGGAAGUAAGUUAAUACAUUGCUGUUUUGACGUUACCAACAGAAUAAGCACCGGCUAACUUCGUG
rnacentral:rRNA from 1 species